rnacentral:rRNA from 1 species
UACGUAGGGUGCGAGCGUUGUCCGGAAUUAUUGGGCGUAAAGAGCUCGUAGGCGGUCUGUCGCGUCGAUCGUGAAAACUCACAGCUCAACUGUGGGCGUGCGGGCGAUACGGGCAGACUGGAGUACUGCAGGGGAGACUGGAAUUCCUGGUGUAGCGGUGGAAUGCGCAGAUAUCAGGAGGAACACCGGUGGCGAAGGCGGGUCUCUGGGCAUUAACUGACGCUGAGGAGCGAAAGCAUGGGGGAGCGAACAGG